rnacentral:tRNA from 1 species
GCGCCUGUGGCGGAAUUGGUAGACGCGCAAGGUUGAGGGCCUUGUGGGCCGUUUGGCCCGUGGAGGGUCGAAUCCUCUCGGGCGCA